UUCUGACUAAAGUUGACCCUUCCUCAGG
rnacentral:piRNA from 1 species